ACCCUUACGAUUCCAUUGGAGGUGGUGGGACGAAGACAUACUACAAGAUACUUAUAUACGUAGGCCCUACCGGGUGCAACCCAAGGGACCUGAUGUUGUACGCGUCCAACAUGGAUUUAGUGAGAAAUGAAAUGAAUGCCACCAUGUGUCUCAGCAUCGACAACGUGAAUGACUUGACCGAGCAGUGGCUGAAAACCAAGCUAGCCAACUGAGUUUGC